rnacentral:rRNA from 15 species
UGAAGAAUGAGCCGGCGACUUAUAGUUAGUGGCAGGUUAAGGUAGAGAAUACUGGAGCCACAGUGAAAGCGAGCUUUAAUAGAGCGUGUGUCACUAGUUAUAGACCCGAACCCGGAUGAUCUAACCAUGGCCAGGAUGAAGCCUAGGUAAUACUAUGUGGAGGUCCGAACCGACUGAUGUUGAAAAAUCAGCGGAUGAAUUGUGGUUAGGGGUGAAAUGC